AAAAUUUUUUAAGUCAGUUCUGAGCAUCAAGAUCAAACAGGCUUCCAGUGCUGCCAGUACUAGUUAUUAACCUCUCUGGGCCUCAUCUGUCCUCUGGAAAGAGGGAGUAUAACAGUUACACCGACCUCUCAAGGUUAUUGCAAUCAUUAAAUUAGAUGAUUUGUGUAACAUGAUUAACACAGUGUCCCCCUCAAUGGUGCUUGUCUUGCUUCUAAACAGAAACAGUGCAGGGCAAAAGCCCUGGGAAAGCCCUGCCUAGGAUUGUGAUCUGCAGCAAGAAAGGAGAGAGCAAGACUCGGCAAUGGCAGGUUCAUUUGACAAGUAGACAGAUUGGUGACCUGAGCGAAGAAAGAGAUUCUGGAGAUGGAUUCCCUCCAAGAUCUUUGCUGUCUUCCAUUGAUGGGAUGGUUACUAGCCACCAGGUUCCAGAUGCCAUCAGGAUGCCAACCAGGCUUCCCUGGACUGAAGACCCCACCAAUAUGUCCUGGAGCUCCGCUUCCCCAGAGACCCACCCUACUAGGGAAAGAGAGAGGCAGACUGGGAGUAUGGAUCGACCAGUCAACGUCCAUGUUCAGCGGGGAAGCAAUUACAGAAGCUAGACCUUCCACCUUCUGCAACCCACAGCGACCCUGGGUCCAUGCUCCCAGAGGGAUAGAGAAUGGGAAAGCUAUCAGGGGAGGGGAUGGG